CAGUAGCCGCGGGAAUACGGAGGGUGCGAGCGUUAAUCGGAAUAGCUGGGCGUAAAGGGCACGCAGGCGGUGACUUAAGUGAGGUGUGAAAGCCCCGGGCUUAACCUGGGAAUUGCAUUUCAUACUGGGUCGCUAGAGUACUUUAGGGAGGGGUAGAAUUCCACGUGUAGCGGUGAAAUGCGUAGAGAUGUGGAGGAAUACCGAAGGCGAAGGCAGCCCCUUGGGAAUGUACUGACGCUCAUGUGCGAAAGCGUGGGGAGCAAACAGGAUUAGAUACCCCAGUAGUCCCUGUCUCUUAUAU
rnacentral:rRNA from 1 species